GGGGAAUUUUGGACAAUGGGCGAAAGCCUGAUCCAGCCAUGCCGCGUGUAUGAAGAAGGCCUUCGGGUUGUAAAGUACUUUUGUUAGGGAAGAAAAGCUUGUUGCUAAUAUCAGCAAGCCAUGACGGUACCUAAAGAAUAAGCACCGGCUAACUACGUGCCAGCAGCCGCGGUAAUACGUAGGGUGCAAGCGUUAAUCGGAAUUACUGGGCGUAAAGCGAGCGCAGGCGGUUAUUUAAGUCAGGUGUGAAAGCCCCGAGCUCAACUUGGGACGUGCAUUUGAAACUGGAUAACUAGAGUGUGUCAGAGGGGGGUAGAAUUCCACGUGUAGCAGUGAAAUGCGUAGAGAUGUGGAGGAAUACCGAUGGCGAAGGCAGCCCCCUGGGAUAACACUGACGCUCAUGCUCGAAAGCGUGGGUAGCAAAC
rnacentral:rRNA from 1 species